rnacentral:rRNA from 1 species
GGUUAAGCGACUAAGCGUACACGGUGGAUGCCCUGGCAGUCAGAGGCGAUGAAGGACGUGCUAAUCUGCGAUAAGCGUCGGUAAGGUGAUAUGAACCGUUAUAACCGGCGAUUUCCGAAUGGGGAAACCCAGUGUGAUUCGUCACACUAUCAUUAACUGAAUCCAUAGGUUAAUGAGGCGAACCGGGGGAACUGAAACAUCUAAGUACCCCGAGGAAAAGAAAUCAACCGAGAUUCCCCCAGUAGCGGCGAGCGAACGGGGAGCAGCCCAGAGCCUGAAUCAGUGUGUGUGUUAGUGGAAGCGUCUGGAAAGGCGCGCGAUACAGGGUGACAGCCCCGUACACAAAAAUGCACAUACUGUGAGCUCGAUGAGUAGGGCGGGACACGUGGUAUCCUGUCUGAAUAUGGGGGGACCAUCCUCCAAGGCUAAAUACUCCUGACUGACCGAUAGUGAACCAGUACCGUGAGGGAAAGGCGAAAAGAACCCCGGCGAGGGGAGUGAAAAAGAACCUGAAACCGUGUACGUACAAGCAGUGGGAGCACAGAGCAAUCUGUGUGACUGCGUACCUUUUGUAUAAUGGGUCAGCGACUUAUAUUCUGUAGCAAGGUUAACCGAAUAGGGGAGCCGAAGGGAAACCGAGUCUUAACUGGGCGUUAAGUUGCAGGGUAUAGACCCGAAACCCGGUGAUCUAGCCAUGGGCAGGUUGAAGGUUGGGUAACACUAACUGGAGGACCGAACCGACUAAUGUUGAAAAAUUAGCGGAUGACUUGUGGCUGGGGGUGAAAGGCCAAUCAAACCGGGAGAUAGCUGGUUCUCCCCGAAAGCUAUUUAGGUAGCGCCUCGUGAAUUCAUCUCCGGGGGUAGAGCACUGUUUCGGCAAGGGGGUCAUCCCGACUUACCAACCCGAUGCAAACUGCGAAUACCGGAGAAUGUUAUCACGGGAGACACACGGCGGGUGCUAACGUCCGUCGUGAAGAGGGAAACAACCCAGACCGCCAGCUAAGGUCCCAAAGUCAUGGUUAAGUGGGAAACGAUGUGGGAAGGCCCAGACAGCCAGGAUGUUGGCUUAGAAGCAGCCAUCAUUUAAAGAAAGCGUAAUAGCUCACUGGUCGAGUCGGCCUGCGCGGAAGAUGUAACGGGGCUAAACCAUGCACCGAAGCUGCGGCAGCGACACUAUGUGUUGUUGGGUAGGGGAGCGUUCUGUAAGCCUGUGAAGGUGUGCUGUGAGGCAUGCUGGAGGUAUCAGAAGUGCGAAUGCUGACAUAAGUAACGAUAAAGCGGGUGAAAAGCCCGCUCGCCGGAAGACCAAGGGUUCCUGUCCAACGUUAAUCGGGGCAGGGUGAGUCGACCCCUAAGGCGAGGCCGAAAGGCGUAGUCGAUGGGAAACAGGUUAAUAUUCCUGUACUUGGUGUUACUGCGAAGGGGGGACGGAGAAGGCUAUGUUGGCCGGGCGACGGUUGUCCCGGUUUAAGCGUGUAGGCUGGUUUUCCAGGCAAAUCCGGAAAAUCAAGGCUGAGGCGUGAUGACGAGGCACUACGGUGCUGAAGCAACAAAUGCCCUGCUUCCAGGAAAAGCCUCUAAGCAUCAGGUAACAUCAAAUCGUACCCCAAACCGACACAGGUGGUCAGGUAGAGAAUACCAAGGCGCUUGAGAGAACUCGGGUGAAGGAACUAGGCAAAAUGGUGCCGUAACUUCGGGAGAAGGCACGCUGAUAUGUAGGUGAAGUCCCUCGCGGAUGGAGCUGAAAUCAGUCGAAGAUACCAGCUGGCUGCAACUGUUUAUUAAAAACACAGCACUGUGCAAACACGAAAGUGGACGUAUACGGUGUGACGCCUGCCCGGUGCCGGAAGGUUAAUUGAUGGGGUCAGCGCAAGCGAAGCUCUUGAUCGAAGCCCCGGUAAACGGCGGCCGUAACUAUAACGGUCCUAAGGUAGCGAAAUUCCUUGUCGGGUAAGUUCCGACCUGCACGAAUGGCGUAAUGAUGGCCAGGCUGUCUCCACCCGAGACUCAGUGAAAUUGAACUCGCUGUGAAGAUGCAGUGUACCCGCGGCAAGACGGAAAGACCCCGUGAACCUUUACUAUAGCUUGACACUGAACAUUGAGCCUUGAUGUGUAGGAUAGGUGGGAGGCUUUGAAGUGUGGACGCCAGUCUGCAUGGAGCCGACCUUGAAAUACCACCCUUUAAUGUUUGAUGUUCUAACGUGGACCCGUAAUCCGGGUUGCGGACAGUGUCUGGUGGGUAGUUUGACUGGGGCGGUCUCCUCCUAAAGAGUAACGGAGGAGCACGAAGGUUGGCUAAUCCUGGUCGGACAUCAGGAGGUUAGUGCAAUGGCAUAAGCCAGCUUGACUGCGAGCGUGACGGCGCGAGCAGGUGCGAAAGCAGGUCAUAGUGAUCCGGUGGUUCUGAAUGGAAGGGCCAUCGCUCAACGGAUAAAAGGUACUCCGGGGAUAACAGGCUGAUACCGCCCAAGAGUUCAUAUCGACGGCGGUGUUUGGCACCUCGAUGUCGGCUCAUCACAUCCUGGGGCUGAAGUAGGUCCCAAGGGUAUGGCUGUUCGCCAUUUAAAGUGGUACGCGAGCUGGGUUUAGAACGUCGUGAGACAGUUCGGUCCCUAUCUGCCGUGGGCGCUGGAGAAUUGAGGGGGGCUGCUCCUAGUACGAGAGGACCGGAGUGGACGCAUCACUGGUGUUCGGGUUGUCAUGCCAAUGGCACUGCCCGGUAGCUAAAUGCGGAAGAGAUAAGUGCUGAAAGCAUCUAAGCACGAAACUUGCCCCGAGAUGAGUUCUCCCUGACUCCUUGAGAGUCCUGAAGGAACGUUGAAGACGACGACGUUGAUAGGCCGGGUGUGUAAGCGCAGCGAUGCGUUGAGCUAACCGGUACUAAUGAACCGUGAGGCUUAACCUU